rnacentral:ribozyme from 1 species
UUUUUUUUUUUUUUUUUUUUUUUUUUUUCUUGCU